AGCUUGUUGCUGAGGUAACGGCUCACCAAGGCGACGACGGGAAGCUGGAGUGAGAGCUCGAACAGCCACACUGGGACUGAGACACGGCCCAGACUCCUACGGGAGGCAGCACUAGGGAAUCUUGCGCAAUGGGCGAAAACCUGACGCAGCAACGCCGCGUGAGCGAAGACGGCCUUCGGGUUGUAAAGCUCUGUCAGGAGGGACGAAGCCACCCGGGUGAACAGCCCAGAGGGUGACGGUACCUCCAGAGGAAGCCCCGGCUAACUACGUGCCAGCAGCCGCGGUAAUACGUAGGGGGCAAGCGUUGUCCGGAAUUAUUGGGCGUAAAGAGCGUGUAGGCGGCUCGUCAAGUCCGAUGUGAAAUCUCGUGGCUCAACCACGAAACUGCAUUGGAAACUGGCUUGCUAGAGUCCGGAAGAGGAGAAUGGAAUUCCUGGUGUAGCGGUGAAAUGCGCAGAUAUCAGGAAGAACACCGGUGGCGAAGGCGGUUCUCUGGGACGGUACUGACGCUGAGACGCGAAAGCGUGGGGAGCGAACAGGAUUAGAUACCCUGGUAGUCCACGCUGUAAACGAUGGGCACUAGGUGUGGGGGGUGUCGACUCCCUCCGUGCCGGAGCUAACGCAUUAAGUGCUCCGCCUGGGGAGUACGGA
rnacentral:rRNA from 1 species